rnacentral:misc_RNA from 1 species
UUUCCGUAGGUGAACCUGCGGAAGGAUCAUUAAUGAAGCAACCUACAGCUCUGAGGGAUUGCUGCUGGCCUCCACCGGGCAUGUGCACGUCUCCUAGUUCUGUAGGACUCACCUUCAUCCACCUGUGCACCCCUGUAGGCCUGGAUUACCCGCUCGCAGAUUGACUUCUGCGGAUUGAAGGUUGCUCUCAGUAGCUUCCUUUGUCUUCCAGGUCUAUGUUCAAUUAUACUCUUUGUAUGUCUUGAAUGUCUUGUUUAUUGGACCUAGUCCUUUAAAACUCAAUACAACUUUCAACAACGGAUCUCUUGGCUCUCGCAUCGAUGAAGAACGCAGC